rnacentral:rRNA from 1 species
UGGGGAAUAUUGGACAAUGGGCGAAAGCCUGAUCCAGCCAUGCCGCGUGAGUGAUGAAGGCCCUAGGGUUGUAAAGCUCUUUUGUGCGGGAAGAUAAUGACGGUACCGCAAGAAUAAGCCCCGGCUAACUUCGUGCCAGCAGCCGCGGUAAUACGAAGGGGGCUAGCGUUGCUCGGAAUCACUGGGCGUAAAGGGUGCGUAGGCGGGUUUCUAAGUCAGAGGUGAAAGCCUGGAGCUCAACUCCAGAACUGCCUUUGAUACUGGAAGUCUUGAUUUCGGGAGAGGUGAGUGGAACAGCGAGUGUAAAGGUGAAAUUCGUAGAUAUUCGCAAUAACACCAGUGGCGAAGGCGGCUCACUGGCCCGUUACUGACGCUGAGGCACGAAAGCGUGGGGAGCAAACA